rnacentral:rRNA from 1 species
UCCGUAGGCGGUGUGGCAAGUCGGAAGUGAAAUCUCUGGGCUUAACUCAGAGGCUGCUUCCGAAACUGCCGUGCUAGAGUGCGAGAGAGGCAAGUGGAAUUGCGGGUGUAGCGGUGAAAUGCGUGGAUAUCCGCAGGAACAUCCGAGGCGAAAGCGGCUUGCUGGAUCGCAACUGACGCUGAGGGACGAAAGCUAGGGGAGCAAACAGGAUUAGAUACCCUGGUAGUCCUAGCCCUAAACCAUCAGGACUUGGGGUUUGCCCUGUACGGGGCAAGUCCCGUAGCUAACGCGUUAAGUCCUGCGCCUGGGGAGUACGGUCGCAAGGCUGAA